UACGAGGAGGUCCGAGCGUUGUUCGGAUUCAUUGGGCGUAAAGGGUGCGUAGGCGGCGGGGCAAGUCUGAUGUGAAAUCCUGGGGCUCAACCCUGGAACUGCAUUGGAUACUGCCUUGCUAGAGAACUGGAGAGGAGACUGGAAUUUACGGUGUAGCAGUGAAAUGCGUAGAGAUCGUAAGGAAGACCAGUGGCGAAGGCGAGUCUCUGGACAGUUACUGACGCUGAGGCACGAAGGCCAGGGGAGCAAACGGG
rnacentral:rRNA from 1 species